rnacentral:rRNA from 1 species
UACGGAGGAUGCAAGCGUUAUCCGGAAUGAUUGGGCGUAAAGCGUCCGCAGGUGGCUGUGUAAGUCUGCUGUCAAAGAGCAAAGCUCAACUUUGAAAAGGCAGUGGAAACUACACGGCUAGAGUGCGUUCGGGGCAGAGGGAAUUCCUGGUGUAGCGGUGAAAUGCGUAGAGAUCAGGAAGAACACCGGUGGCGAAGGCGCUCUGCUAGGCCGCAACUGACACUGAGGGACGAAAGCUAGGGGAGCGAAUGGG